rnacentral:lncRNA from 1 species
AUAUAAAGAGAAAAUGACUUACUGCGUCCAAAAUGGAACACAACAGUGGGCAAAACCAUGUCUUCAAUUCACCAGGUCCUGAAAGUCCUGAGAACACGUGGGCCCCAAGCAGAGAGAGGGAAGCUUUUCUUCUGGACUAAAAAUAAUAAAAUAAAAUAUUCCUGUGGUACCUGACCCUGAGCUGAGACGUCUGAGAACGGGACACGUUAUGUGCCUUCAAAGCUAGAAAUCCUAAAAGGCCAGGAAGAACAUUUGUACAUGCAAUUUGAGGAAAACUACACUCUCUGGAUGGGAGAGAUCUCUUCGUCCAGCAUGAAACAUAUCGUACAAAGACCUAAUCGUAGAGAAGAGGCCUCCAUCUAUUUCAGACAAGGUGACCUUGAGGAAGUCUGAAGGAGCAAGGUCAAAUCUGCCCAAUUACUGGGAACUUUAUAAAAGUCUUGAGACCCUUGAGAAGUAUAUAGAUCCCAAGAAGAAUCUGGUCAAUAAAGAAAUAAAUCUUAAAGUUUUCUCUACACAUACAUGGAAUAUCUCCAGUCAAAUAUAAUAUUACAUGGGCUGAGAAUACCCAGGAGAGGAAAGAUUGCAAUGAUUCCAAUGUGAAUUUCAUGGAUUUAAGUUGAAAGUUAUCUCACGUCCAAAGUUACAAAGGUCGGGUCAAGGCUCAGAACAGUCUUGGUUGCCUGAGUGUUUUCAUUCUUCUUCAUUGAUGGGAUAAACUGGAAAGAUGCCUGGAGAUCCUGGGCCGUUAUUAACUUAGCGCCUACUGUGGUCCAGCCUUGACCUAUGGUGGUGGGAAUUCAACUCCUUUCUCAAGCUCCGAAUGUCUAAUAUUCUCUCCCUUCUAAACUCAACUGAGCAUAGGUCACCUGGUGUCCCACCACCCUGCUCAUCUAUGCUUCGGCCAAAAGACGCAAAUGCCUAAAGAGGAGCGGCUGCUGCCCAGCUCCGGGGAGAGGCUGGGAGGAGGAAGGAUGGAAGAGAGCCAAGAAGGGCAGUUGCAGAGGGGCACUGAGUGCUUGUGUUCGGUUCCCGAAAAGUUGCAGGAGGGGAGGGACUCUGGCAGUCAGCAGGUCCAGUCUGUGAGCUCAGCUCUUCCUGUGGAGACUGAUCAGAUUCACCCCAGGAGCCCUGGCAGCAAGGCCGGCAGAGCAGGGUUGUAGCAAAACCCCAUGUAACACUGCUGAGUGGCUCGAAGGACUAAAACCAUCCAUCGCCAUCAAAACUUAUCAUGCUGUACAAUUUAAAUUGGUUCCUGUGUUUUCCAGGCUUUUCUUUGCGAUAUCCAGCG